UUUACUCGACUCUGGACCUAUCAUCUGAGGUGAACACAUGACUGCUUAGUCUGUGAGGAAUGGAGGAACGCAGGAACUUAGCAAGGGAGGCAAGUGGUUAUACAGGGGGAAAAGCAGCCAUCUGAGAUAAUUUAUUGAGUAUACUUAUGUGCCAGGCUCUGGACCAGAGACUCUGGGUGAUACAACCCUGAAAGGUUUUCUAUCUGGGGAGGGACAUGGCAGAAGCAGUAUUUUGGGAAGAUAUUUCUGGCAGCAGUAUGUACAGUCUAGACUGAAGAGGAGAAGGUGAAGCCAGGGAAGACUAACAACGAGUCCAGAGAUGGAGAGGAACAAACCUGACUGGGGUGGUGGCACAAAGGAGAGCAUGUCCUGUUCAUCCUUCCCUCCACAAAGCAGCUGGACAAGACCCAACCAGUGAUGGGAUCUCUGUAGCAUCAUUUUCCAAAGGAAGCUGGCACAUGACAAGUGCUGCCUCCAUUUCAAAAUCCAUUCAUGUACCGACAUUCGCCUACCCUCUCGGCCUUGAUCCCACUCUCCUGAGGUGCCUGAGGGAUCUUGCCACUGUGCGCAUGGCACUAAGGAACUCUGCCUGCCAGUCCCAGAACUGCUCUUGUCUCACUCUGUUAC
rnacentral:lncRNA from 1 species